UCGGACGUGGGGUAGUAGUUUAACCCGCUUCCCUCCCAAGGAAGAGAGUAAGUUACGCAGUCGUUAAGGGCUACGAAGCCGCUCGCUGACGAGGUUGAUGCAGCCUGGGUGCAAAUCCCGGCGUUCGAA